UCGAGUGAAAGUUCCGAUGAAUGGGUUGGAGUAGACCGUCUGAUGAAGUAUACUGAAAAGAACAUUGUGAAGCAGCAACCUCUUGACAAAAAACAGGGUGUUGACAUGAACCUGAAGUCUGGUUGCUCAACUGAAACACAACCUGAAGUAUUAUAUGGAGCAAAAGGAAAGAAGAAAGUGGGUGAUUCGAGUAUGGAGAAAUUCUGAGACGUCCUUCAAAAUCAGUUCUUCUGAAGCCUCACCUCAGAUCAAGAUCAACAUAUCUGAAAACGUUCAGACUGAAG